CUCUCCUAAACACUGGUUGUCACAGCUGGUUCGUUUGUAGAACAGGUCGGGACAUGAUGACAGUUUGGAAGCAGGCUAUUCAAUAAACGUUUGUGCUAAAGUGUGCAAAACAUUAUAGAAACUUAUGAAAUGCUCCACAUGGAUUUAUUUCUAUGCGCUGAGCCUCUACUUUUCGUUGGCUCAAGAGGUUCAAGAAUGGUACAUGCAAGGUCAGACACUGUGAGAGAUGGUAAUGAGACUGGAAAGUCUAAACAGCAGGGAGACGGUUUACACAAUUCCAUAUUUUUUUUAAUAAAGACCGUUGUGUACGUAUAAAGCCAAUACGUGGAGAAAAUAGAAUAUCAAUUAUACCACCGCGUUACACCCGUAUGUGUUGUGAAUAAACGUGUCCACAAUCAAGCCCCAGAUAACUGCUUUUUUCAGUUUAACAGAGAGCAGAACAUUUUGCCUUCUGUCUCCAAAUUUUCGCUGAGUACAAGUUACGUAAUGGAUGAAGGACAAUAGCCAUUACCCUUCAACAAGCACUCGGAGACUGACGAGAAAACAAGAUGAAAAAACGCAGACCUGUCCCGAAUAGUUACAGCACAGUAAGCCGUUAAAUUCAAGAGUGUUCCAUAUGAUUGUCAAAAAUGAACAAGUCGAUUACAAAUUCGAAACAAAUUACAUCAGGCAUGACUCCACACAAUUUUAAUAGUAACAUCGCCAAACCGACGCUUUUGUUGAAAUCUUGUGCCCAUAGUGCCAGUAAAAGGAACCAAACGAGGAAUCAUGCCAUUACAAAAAAUUAUUUGCCGUAUAACAAAUUUCCGUUACUUAAAGUAUGUGACCUACAUGUUUGAAUUCAUACUACUUCAAAAUAUAGUUGAUGGGCUGUGUUCUGUAAUAUAAAAAUGAUGGAAUGUUCAGUUGAUGUGUUCAUCUCUACAGAUGUUCGUUUUUCACUGGAGAAUGUAAUUAAUCCAACGGUGGUAGAUUAAUGGAGUCUGUAAAACAUGUGGAAAAGUACAUUGCUGUAGUUACAAACGAAAGUUAACGUUCUGUUUACAAACGAAGCAUGCGUUAAUUAAAACAAUACACACUCUAGCAUCAAGAUUGGCAUAAUAGAUUACAUCAGCCACUUUGUAUUUAUGUAAGAAAACAACGGUAAAUAUCUGCGACCGAUAAACCAACUGCAAUUAUCACAUCACUGGUGUCUAACCAAACAUUCUACGCUUCAAUGCUUCUCACUAAGGAAAAAUUACUGUUGACACGAAUCUUCAGAAAUUUAUCGAACGUCUUAACCAGUUCCAAUCUACUACCCAGGUAACCUGAUGAAGAAUACAUAGGCAGAACAGAGCAAAGCAAGCAGCUUUGCAGUUAAGAAAGAUGAAUGCAAUUAUUUACUUUCGGAAUGUGACUUGAAAUAUGAUGCUCCCUCGCAGAUAAUACUUUAAAUUAUAAACUUAAUGAAUGUUCUUGAGAAACUAUUAAUAUU